rnacentral:rRNA from 1 species
UACGUAGGGGGCAAGCGUUGUCCGGAUUUAUUGGGCGUAAAGAGCGUGUAGGCGGCCAUACAGGUCAGCUGUGAAAACUCGAGGCUCAACCUCGAGACGUCGGUUGAAACCGUAUGGCUAGAGUCCGGAAGAGGAGAGUGGAAUUCCCGGUGUAGCGGUGAAAUGCGUAGAUAUCUGGAGGAACACCGGUGGCGAAGGCGGCAUCCUGGACCGGCAUUGACGCUGAGGCGCGAAAGCCAGGGGAGCAAACGGGG